CCUUCAGUGGUUCAGUGGUAGAAUUCUGGCCUGCCAGGCAAAAGGCCAGGGAUUAAUUCCUGGUUAAAGUG